rnacentral:rRNA from 1 species
UACGUAGGGUGCGAGCGUUGUCCGGAAUUAUUGGGCGUAAAGGGCUCGUAGGCGGUUUGUCGCGUCGGGAGUGAAAACACACAGCUUAACUGUGUGCUUGCUUCCGAUACGGGCAGACUAGAGGUAUGCAGGGGAGAACGGAAUUCCUGGUGUAGCGGUGAAAUGCGCAGAUAUCAGGAGGAACACCGGUGGCGAAGGCGGUUCUCUGGGCAUGUCCUGACGCUGAGGAGCGAAAGUGUGGGGAGCGAACAGG